AACGAACGCUGGCGGCAUGCCUAACACAUGCAAGUCGAACGAUCCCUUCGGGGAUAGUGGCGCACGGGUGCGUAACGCGUGGGAACCUGCCCUUAGGUUCGGAAUAACUCAGAGAAAUUUGAGCUAAUACCGGAUAAUGUCUUCGGACCAAAGAUUUAUCGCCUUUGGAUGGGCCCGCGUUGGAUUAGCUAGUUGGUGGGGUAAAGGCCUACCAAGGCGACGAUCCAUAGCUGGUCUGAGAGGAUGAUCAGCCACACUGGGACUGAGACACGGCCCAGACUCCUACGGGGGGCAGCAGUGGGGAAUAUUGGACAAUGGGCGAAAGCCUGAUCCAGCAAUGCCGCGUGAGUGAUGAAGGCCUUAGGGUUGUAAAGCUCUUUUACCCGGGAUGAUAAUGACAGUACCGGGAGAAUAAGCCCCGGCUAACUCCGUG
rnacentral:rRNA from 1 species